ACACAUGCAAGAAAAACGAACCUUCGGGUUAGUGGCGGACGGGUGAGUAACGCGUUUCCAUCUGCCCUCAGGAGGAGGAUAACGGUUGGAAACGACCGCUAAUACCCCAUAUGCCGAGAGGUGAAAAGAAAUUCGCCUGAGGAUGAGCUCGCGUCUGAUUAGCUAGUUGGUGUGGUAAUGGCGCACCAAGGCUUCGAUCAGUAGCUGGUCUGAGAGGAUGAUCAGCCACACUGGGACUGAGACACGGCCCAGACUCCUACGGGAGGCAGCAGUGGG
rnacentral:rRNA from 1 species